AUUGAACGCUGGCGGCAUGCCUUACACAUGCAAGUCGAACGGCAGCACGGGGCAACCUGGUGGCGAGUGGCGAACGGGUGAGUAAUGCAUCGGAACGUGCCAUUGAGUGGGGGAUAACGUAGCGAAAGUUGCGCUAAUACCGCAUAUUCUGUGAGCAGGAAAGCAGGGGACCGCAAGGCCUUGCGCUCUUUGAGCGGCCGAUGUCAGAUUAGCUAGUUGGUGAGGUAACGGCUUACCAAGGCGACGAUCUGUAGCGGGUCUGAGAGGAUGAUCCGCCACACUGGAACUGAGACACGGUCCAGACUCCUACGGGAGGCAGCAGUGGGGAAUUUUGGACGAUGGGCGCAAGCCUGAUCCAGCCAUGCCGCGUGAGUGAAGAAGGCCUUC
rnacentral:rRNA from 1 species